rnacentral:rRNA from 1 species
GUGAAGAGUUUGAUCCUGGCUCAGAGUGAACGCUGGCGGCAGGCCUAACACAUGCAAGUCGAACGGCAGCACAGUAAGAGCUUGCUCUUAUGGGUGGCGAGUGGCGGACGGGUGAGGAAUACAUCGGAAUCUACUCUUUCGUGGGGGAUAACGUAGGGAAACUUACGCUAAUACCGCAUACGACCUACGGGUGAAAGCGGAGGACCUUCGGGCUUCGCGCGAUUGAAUGAGCCGAUGUCGGAUUAGCUAGUUGGCGGGGUAAAGGCCCACCAAGGCGACGAUCCGUAGCUGGUCUGAGAGGAUGAUCAGCCACACUGGAACUGAGACACGGUCCAGACUCCUACGGGAGGCAGCAGUGGGGAAUAUUGCACAAUGGGCGGAAGCCUGAUGCAGCAACGCCGCGUGCGGGAUGACGGCCUUCGGGUUGUAAACCGCUUUCGCCUGUGACGAAGCGUGAGUGACGGUAAUGGGUAAAGAAGCACCGGCUAACUACGUGCCAGCAGCCGCGG